GAUCGGCUCAGGAUGAACGCUGGCGGCGUGCCUAACACAUGCAAGUCGAGCGAAGCACUUUGCUUAGAUUCUUCGGAUGAAGAGGAUUGUGACUGAGCGGCGGACGGGUGAGUAACGCGUGGGUAACCUGCCUCAUACAGGGGGAUAACAGUUAGAAAUGACUGCUAAUACCGCAUAAGACCACAGCACCGCAUGGUGCGGGGGUAAAAACUCCGGUGGUAUGAGAUGGACCCGCG
rnacentral:rRNA from 1 species